UCGCCUCUCACCGCAAUCUAAUUCUGACUGCUCAUCACCCUGUUUUCCAGGCACUCGCUCUCUUUCCCAGUGGCGCAGUUGGUAAUGACACAGGUCUGCAACCCAAAGGUCGUGGGUUCAAUUACACCUUGGGCAACAUGUUUUUUUUCCCCUACAAAUUAAUACACUAUCACAGACCACUAAUUCAUAUUCAUCAUUUAUUACAAUUCUGCAAACUUUUAUGAUUUUAGCAGCUUUUCUAAUAUGGACCUCAGAUUCUU
ensembl:lncRNA